rnacentral:rRNA from 1 species
AUUGAACGCUGGCGGCAGGCUUAACACAUGCAAGUCGAGCGGGGGAAGGUAGCUUGCUACUGGACCUAGCGGCGGACGGGUGAGUAAUGCUUAGGAAUCUGCCUAUUAGUGGGGGACAACAUCUUGAAAGGGAUGCUAAUACCGCAUACGUCCUACGGGAGAAAGCAGGGGAUCUUCGGACCUUGCGCUAAUAGAUGAGCCUAGGUCGGAUUAGCUAGUUGGUGGGGUAAAGGCCUACCAAGGCGACGAUCUGUAGCGGGUCUGAGAGGAUGGACAGCCACACGGGGAAUGGGACACGGCCCGGACUCCUGCGGGAGGCAGCAGUGGGGAAUAUUGGACAAUGGGGGGAACCCUGAUCCAGCCAUGCCGCGUGUGUGAAGAAGGCCUUAUGGUUGUAAAGCACUUUAAGCGAGGAGGAGGCUACUCUAGUUAAUACCUAGGGAUAGUGGACGUUACUCGCAGAAUAAGCACCGGCUAACUCUGUGCCAGCCGCCGCCGUAA